rnacentral:lncRNA from 1 species
GCGCAACUUUGUCAAAGAUUUCUGACAAAGUUGAAAACGCGUGAAUCUUACUGUUUCAAUUACCCAACGGUUGCCGACAAGAGUAAAGGAAUAGUGUCACUACUGGCUAUUGGGAAAUUCCUAUAUAUGACGACCUUCAUCCUCCAUAGCAGGGCAGACCUGCAAAAAAAUGCCCAACCCUUCCUCACUUCCAAGAGUGCACUCCCAGUAGAGCCUCUCGAAAUACUCAAGUUUCUUCCUUUUCGGAAAUACCCUUGCAAACAAAUGACACCAAAGCAAAAGUAUCUCAUAUCA